rnacentral:rRNA from 1 species
UGCAGUCGACGGCAGCGCGGGGCAACCUGGCGGCGAGUGGCGAACGGGUGAGUAAUAUAUCGGAACGUACCCAGAAGUGGGGGAUAACGUAGCGAAAGUUACGCUAAUACCGCAUACGAUCUACGGAUGAAAGUGGGGGACCUUCGGGCCUCAUGCUUGUGGAGCGGCCGAUAUCUGAUUAGCUAGUUGGUGAGGUAAAGGCUCACCAAGGCGACGAUCAGUAGCUGGUCUGAGAGGACGACCAGCCACACUGGGACUGAGACACGGCCCAGACUCCUACGGGAGGCAGCAGUGGGGAAUUUUGGACAAUGGGCGCAAGCCUGAUCCAGCAAUGCCGCGUGAGUGAAGAAGGCCUUCGGGUUGUAAAGCUCUUUUGUCAGGGAAGAAACGGGNNUGGCUAAUAUCNGAUCCUAAUGACGGUACCUGAAGAAUAAGCACCGGCUAACUACGUGCCAGCAGCCGCGGUAAUACGUAGGGUGCAAGCGUUAAUCGGAAUUACUGGGCGUAAAGCGUGCGCAGGCGGUUUUGUAAGUCUGACGUGAAAUCCCCGGGCUCAACCUGGGAAUUGCGUUGGAGACUGCAAGGCUGGAGUCUGGCAGAG